rnacentral:misc_RNA from 1 species
GUUUAUAAAAACGAACCCGACUGCUCUCUCGCAAGAGAGAGCGUUGAUCUGGGCGCUCGUGUCGCGCACACACACCAUCUCUUGCUCUCUCAGAGUAUAGCAGUGUGCGUGUGUGCUGCGACACGUCGCCUCAAACGAAACGCAAGAGAAAAGAUGAAUUGGCGUUCGUCUGGCUGGCGCGCGCGCUUACCGCUUGGAGAGUACUCACGUGUGUAAAAGCGCGCGAGUACUUCCGAUCGUUCUGCGUUCGAGUCCCGGAGCUUCUCGCCUCGUCGAGCAGCGGACCAACUGUCAGUACACGAUCAGGCUCGUCCAUGAUUCGGUACACUAGAAAGGCGCGCGCGCGCUCUCGCUAUUUUAUUAUAGCUCUGGCUAGCUCGAACAACAACAACGAGUCUUUUUUCUCGAU